GACGAACGCUGGCGGCGUGCUUAACACAUGCAAGUCGAACGCUGAACCCGCUUCGGUGGGGGAUGAGUGGCGAACGGGUGAGUAACACGUGGGCAACCUGCCCCCGGCUCUGGGAUAACUCCAAGAAAUUGGGGCUAAUACCGGAUGUGACCGCUGGCCGCAUGGUCUGGUGGUGGAAAGGGUUUCCGGCUGGGGAUGGGCCCGCGGCCUAUCAGCUUGUUGGUGGGGUAGUGGCCUACCAAGGCGACGACGGGUAGCCGGCCUGAGAGGGUGACCGGCCACACUGGGACUGAGACACGGCCCAGACUCCUACGGGAGGCAGCAGUGGGGAAUAUUGCGCAAUGGGCGGAAGCCUGACGCAGCGACGCCGCGUGGGGGAUGACGGCCUUCGGGUUGUAAACCUCCUUCAGCAGGGACGAAGCGCAAGUGACGGUACCUGCAGAAGAAGCACCGGCCAACUACGUG
rnacentral:rRNA from 1 species